AUGCUGACGUCAUCAAAGGCCAUGAUGACGUAAGCAUUUGGAGGACCCCGUGCUGACGUCAUGCUGAUGUCAGCAUGACACGUGGCACGCCCAGAGGCUGCCACGUGGCUGACUAUUUGUUUUUUCUUUUUUGAAAACCUUUAUUUAAUUUGAGAAUUUUUUUAAGCUUUAAAAUUCAUAAUAAAUCAACCGGAGCUCCGAAAAUAAUUCUUCUAAAAUCAUGAUCUACGCGUUAGAGUAGAUUUUGUUGUGAAUUUUGUGCAUUCUUGCACUUUGGACCCUAUAGUAAUUUGUAAUUAUGAAUAGGUCCUACUGCUAAAGAGAAGACCGAUGAUCAGGACUACCAGGAGUCUCAGGAGUUCUACGAGGAGCACCCAGUUUGGCAAGAUGCAGGAUCUGAUCAGGAGUUCGACACCAACAACGACAGAUGGUACGACUGAAGCUUAGAAGCCCGUGCUACGCUCAAGUGCUGUCGGUGGAGAUGAAGUUCGAGAUGAAGGAUGGCCUGAAGACCAGUUACCGCUACCAUUUUCUGUUUGUUCCAGUUCAGCCCAAGGGGCUUGUAAUAAAUUCGUACUACAAAUCCUCUGGAUAUUGUAAUAAUUAAAUCCAUAUUUGAAUAUCUUUUAAGUGAGUAUGAACUAA